ACUCCUGCGGGAGGUAGCAGUGGGGAAUAUUGCACAAUGGGCGCAAGCCUGAUGCAGCCAUGCCGCGUGUAUGAAGAAGGCCUUCGGGUUGUAAAGUACUUUCAGCGGGGAGGAAGGCGAUAAGGUUAAUAACCUUGUCGAUUGACGUUACCCGCAGAAGAAGCACCGGCUAACUCCGUGCCAGCAGCCGCGGUAAUACGGAGGGUGCAAGCGUUAAUCGGAAUUACUGGGCGUAAAGCGCACGCAGGCGGUCUGUCAAGUCGGAUGUGAAAUCCCCGGGCUCAACCUGGGAACUGCAUUCGAAACUGGCAGGCUAGAGUCUUGUAGAGGGGGGUAGAAUUCCAGGUGUAGCGGUGAAAUGCGUAGAGAUCUGGAGGAAUACCGGUGGCGAAGGCGGCCCCCUGGACAAAGACUGACGCUCAGGUGCGAAAGCGUGGGGAGCAAACAGGAUUAGAAACCCUAGUAGUCCCA
rnacentral:rRNA from 1 species